UACAGAGACUGCAAGCGUUAUUCGGAUUCACUGGGCGUAAAGGGUGCGCAGGCGCCGAGUGUGUGAGGCGUGAAAGCCCGGGGCUUAACCCCGGAAUUGCACCUCAAACUACACGGCUAGAGCAUUGGAGAGGGUAGCAGAAUUCAUGGUGUAGCAGUGAAAUGCGUAGAUAUCAUGAGGAAUACCAGAGGCGAAGGCGGCUACCUGGGACAAUUGCUGACGCUCAGGCACGAAAAGCGUGGGGGAGCAAAACAGG
rnacentral:rRNA from 1 species